rnacentral:rRNA from 1 species
CCUACGGGAGGCAGCAGUGAGGAAUCUUGCACAAUGGCCGAGAGCCUGAUGGAGCAACGCCGCGUGGGUGAAGAAGGUCUUCGGGGCGUAAAACCCUGUUGUUAGGGAAGCAAAUGCGUGAGAGUAACUGUUCACGUUUCGACGGUAUCUAACCAGAAAGCCACGGCUAACUACGUGCCAGCAGCCGCGGUAAUACGUAGGGGGGAAGCGUUAUCCGGAUUUGUUGGGCGUAAAGGGAACGCAGGCGGUCGGUUAAGGCUGAUGGGAAAGCGGUCGGCUUAACCGGAGUAGUGCAUUUGAAACUGGGUGACUUGAGUGCAGAAGAGGAGCGCGGAA